CCAAGGAUUACACGGUGUAAGUCGCGCAUUGGCAAGGAGCGUAUUUCGGAGUCAGGCACGCACUCGCCGGAUUCAGCCCUGUCGUGGCCUGAAAUGAACCUUGUCAUUUCAGCUUUCUCGUCCAGAGAGUGAGGCAUGAUUGUCAAAGCUUCCAAAACAAUCCGCAAUGACCAAUGAUGCCUCUGUAAAAUCGAAGAGUUUCCAUUAUGAGCUGCUGAAAACCAACAAGACCAAACAAAAAUACUUCAACGCCUUUGGCUCUUUGGCUCCUGUGCUCGAUAUUGAAUAUGGCAACACAACAAACUAACAUCACAAAACCAAUAACCAUGGACCAGGUCUAACAGGGACAAUAGGGUCUAUCCCAGAAUUGCAUCAAACUAGAGGCGCGUGGCUUUUCAUAAUCGGCACUACGCCCCGUUUUCCAGCGCAAGCGCCCGAUCCUCAACCUCCCCUGCGCAGCCGCCACACGAUAUUUUUGGAUUUUGGCGCUGAACAUGGCAUGGAUUUAGAUCCACUCACUGUGAAGAAGCUAGGUUGGGAACUGGAUAUAUAGCUCCUCCCCAUAAUGUUCUACUUUAACUAGAUAACUAACUAGAAGGAUAUGCAUUAUUCAUCCCGCUAUUGAUGCGUCAAUGCGAGGAAUGGCCUUGAUCCCUGGAUGGCGCUUGCAGGUUGAAUAGGGGACCUAAAUUUAUCUCUAGAGGCCUUACUCGAUUGUUAUUCUUGUUCCAUUAUCUUUCUGACAUUAUUCUAUGUCGGUGGUAAAAUUCUGGAUCUGCGUCUAAAAUCUUGUAUUCUUGGGCGCUUCUGCUCGUGGAUAGAAGUAAUCUUGUCACUAUUUCAUAAGCCAA
rnacentral:sRNA from 2 species